GUCUAUAGCCAUACCACCCUGAACAUGCCUGAUCUCUUCUGAUCUCGGAGGCUAAGCAAGGUCAGGCUUGGUUAGUACUUGGAUGAGAGUACCUGGAUCCUAAUCUAAUAUAAUUA
rnacentral:rRNA from 1 species